CCCGAGCCCCUGGAGCUGGCGGCCGCGGACUGCGUCCCUGGGGACACUGGAGGGGACUCCAGGGACAGCGUGGGUGGGCCUUUCCCCCGCACGCGCCUCUGUCACUCUCUUUCCGGGCCAGAGCCGGGGCAGCGCUCUAAAUUAAGGUCGACCUCCAGCGCUGGGUGAAGUCUUGAGUCCGCCCGGGAGCCCUAGAAGAGACUGGGGCAGCAUGAAUGUGCUGGAAGAUUAGAGGCUGCUGAUGCUGAAGGAAGGAGAAACGAGGAGGAAGUGUCCCUGUGGACAAGUCAUCUCCCUUCAUUUAAGCCAGGCCAGUAGUCCGGGAGACAUUCUGAAUGAUGCAUUAUCCUAGGCACCAGAAAGUAUCUAACAUUCUCAUGGACAGCAGGGAAAAAUGAGCACAUGAGACAGGGGAAGAUUCCAGCACCUGUGAACAUGUUUGUGCAGGUUUCCAGUCAGUACAUGGAUAUCCCUCAAGCCUUUGAAUCCAGUCUCCUGUGUUGUGAUUGGACCGUUUGUCAUUAGGUUUCCAGUGGCAGAGUAAUGCUGUGGGAGAACUGGCUACGAUGGCCGCAGGAGGUGAAUUAAGUAUUGUUGUGUUUUUAGUAGAACCACUAAAGGAAGAUCUGCAGGCAAGUUGGAUGAGUAUAAGAGCCAAAGAUUGACAAGACUUCCUCAGAUGCUCCUACUGACCAGUGGGGGCACUUCUACAGCUCCCCGAAUAUGUUCUCCCUGCAACCCCCACCACUUUUUAAUUAAAUGGCCAGAACUGCCUUUUUGUAUCAAAACUUAUUUUAGUCUAUCAAUCAAAGGCUUCUAUAGCCCACCUCAUGGCAAAGGAUAUCAGAGAGGUAAAAGAUAAUUGUUUUGACAUAUUUAUUAUCACAACUAGCGACUCUUUCUGCAUUCACAUUGGCUGGUAUGCAGAAAAGGGUGCUUUACAGGAUUCUUGGAAAUGUGUAGUGGAUGCUGGCUCUAGGGGAGGCAGAAUAGAGUGUGGGUUCUGCCAUGGGUCACAUCCGGGUUUUAAUUCUGCCUCUGCCACAUGACCUUGAGCACACUGGAAAACCCUAUUAGAUGUGCAAGAAGGCUUCCCCAUCUGUAAAGGUGGGUGACUUAGCAACUUUAGCAAUGCUUAAGUCACCCGGUUGUUGUGAGUAAUACAUAAGUUAAUGUAUGCUAACUUUCUAGAAAGUUUCCUGGCACAAAGUUGUAUUUAAUAAAUGAUUUUUAAAACAAGCUCUUUUUUGGGGGUUAGUUGCCAUCUGAUCAUCUAAUCACACCACUGUUCUUGUAGACUGUGUGUAUGCAUUUUCUAUUCAGCAUCAGAAAAUAUACAUAGAAGCCUGCAACUCCUAAAGAUCGGGAAGAAAUCCAGAGGAUCUAGGAAGACUGGCCAUUCUGUUAAUUGAAAAGAAUCUUUUGGUGCCAAUUUGAGGGAUUCAUAAAGAAGAUGAGCCAUUUAAGCCAUAACAGAGAGGAAUUAUCUUUAAUCAUUGAAAUAACAGAUGAUCUGGUUAUAACAAUUGGCAGAAGCUCCUGGAUGUGGCUCUCCCUUCUACCUAGGGCAUUCAACCUCAAAGUGCCUACCGCCUGGGCAUUCCCACUGCUGCAUCAUUACAAUUUCUUGUAAAUUUGUAAAGAAGCCCCUUUCCUUUUGGAUGACUCCUAGUUAUUGAAAGUUACCCUUUUUGUCCUUCUCUGAGUUCCAACCACACUGAGACUUGAUCGUCAGAUACGAAUGUUGGUAAACACUCCUUUUUGUUCCAUCUUUAUCCCUUGAUCAAGCUUCUCGUGCAAUAGUACCCCCCGAAAUAAACCAAGAGUAAUCCUUCCAAUCACCUCUUUCUCUUCCAAAGGGUAUUUAUUGGUUGAUAAUAGUACAGAAUAGUACAGAAUUAGCAGAGUCCUUGAACACUGGGUGGAGUAAACAUCUCCUGAUGGACUCUUUAAUUGAGUUGAAGCACCCUGACGAGGGGGUCUUAAUCAGCCUUUUCCAGUUAUUAAUAGUGAUUUGUCAGAAAGCCAAAACUAAGGGAUUUUGGAAAGAACCAAAAGAACUCAGUAUCUUUACAAAACUCCUCUCUCAAAAUUGGAAAGAGAAAAAAAAUACCUGGAAAAAA
rnacentral:lncRNA from 1 species